rnacentral:ncRNA from 1 species
GAUAGAAGAAAGUAGAUAAGGGAAGUCGGCAAAAUAGAUCCGUAACUUCGGGAAAAGGAUUGGCUCUGAGGGCUGGGUGUAUAGCGCCAGUGUGUUCUUCGAUGGUCGGAGCUGUAUGGGCCCGUUCGUGCCUCGCGGCGCGACUGUGGACCAUUGGCACUGACCACGAUGUGACCGUUUGUCUGCGUACACAGUGAACAGCUAACUCAGAACUGGGGCAGACAAGGGGAGUCCGAUUGUUUAAUUAAAACAAAGCAUUGCGACGGCUGCAAACGGUGCUGACGCGAUGUGAUUUCUGCCCAGUGCUCUGAAUGUCAAGUUGAAGAUGAAAUUCAAUCAAGCGCUGGUUAACGGCGGACGUAACUAUGACGUGAAAAUUUGAGAGCUGGGUUUUGGGGCUGGCUCGGAGCCGCUGCCUCUCAAAAAAGGUGUUCAAAAGGGGGAUGCGAGUUAGCACCAACCCCUACGGCACGCCCAACUGUAGGGCCAACUGUCUUCACGCGUCUUUAAGUGCCCACAGUGCUACGGAGAGUGCUAGUAUUAGUGUCUUAUUAGUCCAUUGGCGUAUCCUACAGCUUAUGAUGUGUGUGCUCGGGAGCGACCUCCUCCUCUCGCUCUCCUCGUGUCAUUGUCUGCUAUGUGAAAACCCCAUAUGCGAUGGCUGUGACGGAUGCAGUCAGUGCUAAUCUCGCGUUGGAUGGCCCACGCUAUGCGAUCAUUUAUCGCAAGGUCAUGUGUAAGCACUCGUCUGUUCUCCUUUGCAAUACACCCCAGGGGCCCAUAUACUAAUGUCUGCACUGUCACCCGAUAUCCACGGUCUUCAUAGUGUUUUUUGAGGCUUUGGUAUUUUUCUUCUUUGUGUAGACGAGCCGAUCCAAAUGAGUUCUUUUUAUAGUCUUCAGAGGCAAUAGCUACAUCAGCUAUUGCCAUCUGCUUGCGUUUGUCGUCUCUCAGGAUGAUGUCUGGCCUCAAUAAGGUCUCCAUGUCUGUCGGACAGCCGUCGAUCUGUAGAGUUUUACCCCGAUUCACCCCGCUGCGCUUGAUUGCCUUUGUGAUCCUCUCCAAGGCCUUGUUAUGUCCCUCUUUGAUCUUGCUGUAAAGGCUGUGAGGACAGUGGUUAAGCACAUGCGCAAGGGUUUCAGGGUCGGCUGUGCAGUGGCGGCAACGAGAUACCUUUGAAGCUUUGAUCUUCUUCAGGUAUGCUCGUGUAGGAAGUUGCGCAGAGCGUGCUCUCAAGGCGAAGGCGACCUCUUCUAGCUUCAGACACGUCGGUCCUCUUAAGAAAGCAUUGCUAGCUGUUGUCUGGUAAUCCACGGAUUUCCCUUGGUCUACCUUCCCCUUCCACACAUCAUGUUGCCACCCUGCCAUAUGCUGCUUGAUACUUCCAGUGAUAUGCUCUUGGUCGAGAGCGGAGCCAUCUGCUGUCUCCACCAGAUAACUGCCAUCACUCCCAGUCUCGAUCCCCGUUUUGCUCGCCGAACUGCUCCGUAGGAGUUCCGACUACAAGCUUCUAAUAUCCACCUUCUUGCCCCUCUUCUUGAGACAUCCAAGGUCUCUAUCGUUGAGGUAGGCAAGUGUUGCUUCUCGGUCGCUAUCUUCACUAUCGGGUGUGUAUACAAACUCCCGCUUGGUGACCUCUAGCAGUUGGCCUUCUGCAACGGCUUGGAUCAUACUGUCCUUGCUGUUGAGGAUCUGGACGGCAUGUCCUAUUUGCGUUGCUGUUGCGAUCGUCUGCAACGAGGUACAGCCUAGCCCCCCAUGAGAGGAGGGCUGGUGAAACACCUCUGAGGCCGUGCUUUUCGACAGCUUGAAGGUCACUUUUAGAACGGCACGGAUGUACGAUCGAACAAGACCAUCUUCUGCUUGUAGGGGUAGCAGUGCCUGAGAUGAUAGUCAAGCCGAGACAUUACAAAAGUGCGCACAGCAUCCAACUUCUGCCAGGGGAGUAAUGCUGACCUGAGGAUCUUGGUGAUAUCCUUUUUAGCUUUGCUCAUGACUCGAAGGAUUUGUCUUUGGUGUACGGAAGUCUCCUUGAGUCCAAGGAACUUGUAUGCCUCCCCGAGUUUCACCACCGGCAAGACCUCGUUAUGCAGCUGGAGUUCUACUGGGUCUUGUUGCUACCUGGUCAUGCCCACCUUCCAUCCCAUGGUAGCGCACUUGGGGGGAUUGGCCUCUAAACCUGUCCAUUGAAGGAAUGCCUUCACCACCUGAUGAAGGCUGUUGAUCCCCUCAUGACUAUUGCCAACAGUCUUUAAGUCAUCUGCGUACUCCAUAUGAGAGAUCUUGACUGCUGGCUUCCCAUCGGCUGUACGCAGUUCUAGGCCUACAUUUCAUGCUGCGAGCCGCUGCAACAGCGGCUCAAUGGCGAGGUUGAGAAGGAUUGGGCUGAGAGGGCAGCCUUGUUUGACUCCCUUCUUGUUUUCGAUGCUUCUUGAGCAGCCCUCCUUCGUUGAGAUGCAGAAGCUAGCUCCUUCGUAGAGAUCUCUGAUGACUUCUUCGAGAUGCUUCGGAAGCCGCUGAUCCUUCAAGACAGUGUAUGAGCUUGUGUGGAAUGGACCCAAACGCAUUUUUCAGGUCGUAGUAGGUCAUGUACAGUGACUUCUUGCCCCUGCGCGCAGAGUUGAGGAUAUUUUGGUCAAGAAAAAGGUGCUCGUGGCACCCAUUUACCGGCAUAAAACUCCUCUGCGACCGUGAGGCGACUCCCGACUGGAUUGCCCAGUCGGUGAUCCUGCUGGCCCAUAGUGCUGCGUAGAGUUUGUAGAUGCAGUCCUGCAGACGGUUGCCAGUUCUUGACGUUCGUCGGGUCUCCUCCUUUCAGGAUCAAAACCGUCACACUCUGCUUCCAUCUUGCUGGCACUUUGCGAUGGUGGGAAAAGGCGUUCUAGAUAGUAAUCAUCGCUUGAACAAGCACAUCUUCGGUGUCAGAAAACUUACUACAGGGAUAGCUGGCUUGUGGCAGCCAACCGUUCAUAGCGACGUUGCAUUUUGAUCCUUCGAUGCCGGCUCUUCCUAUCGCUGGGACGCAGAAGUCUCAAAGUGUUGGAUUGUUCACCCGCCAAUAGUGAACGCGAGCUGGGUUCAGACCGUCGUGAGACAGGUUAGUUUUAUCCUACUGAUAAAUUUGAUACUGCGACCGCAAUCCAACUUAGUACUAGCGGAGCAGUUGGUUCAGAUACUUGGUUAAUGGGGCUAGCUGGAAAGUUAGUGCCGCGACGCUACAAUCUGCUGAAUUAUGACUGAACGCCUCUAAGUCAGAAUCCAUGCUGGCUGAGCAGUGUUUCUCGUUGCCUCACUUGUUACUCGCAUGUCUUUUUUAGAGCCUCGAGCACAACACCUUAUCACAGGCCUUUGCGUUACGCGCCGGGCGACAAUCGCAAUUUCCCAUAAUUGGGGCGGUACAUCCAUUGCAGGCGACUUGGCACAACCAACUGCUGUAAAUGUGAGAGUAGGCUUGCCCUACGAUCCACUAAGAUUCAGCCUGUGUUGUAUGAUGU